ACGGGGCAACUUUUUGGGCAAUGUUGCUGGGCAAUUGCGUUUUGACUCUUUUCUAUUGAGAUUGGGCAACAUUGUUUCUUUCUGAAUGGUUUUGAUAAUCUCUGGCAACUUUUUGAGAUAAGCCAAUCAGAACGCGAGUAUCGAGUCAUGUGACCUCCGGUGAGGUUCGGAUCAGAAAUUUCAAACAAAUAUGGCGGCCGCUCAGUGUCAGUGGAGUGAAGAGAUGGAGAGACUCCUCAUCUGUUUUUACGCCGGUGCUACAGGGCCAUACCAGCCAAAACAAACAGACUCAGGGACAGUUUCUUUCCAAGAGCUGUCACAAUACUCAACUCAAGUUUGCACUAAGGAACUGUCAUGCUUGAACACCACUGACAAGUUGCCUACAUACUGAAAAUAGAGAUCUUGCAUGUGACGUCACAGCCGAUCCAGAUUGUGACAGACGCCAUUUUGUCGGUCAAAUGCCACUUUCCGCCUUCUACUUCUACUUCUGGUUCUACUUCUGGUUCUACUUCUACCUUUUCUUCUGGAAAACCCUACUAUAUACAAUUCUACUACAACGGCUGCGGCUACAAGCUCUCCCUACCUGUGCACGUUUUUUAUAUUUUUUGUGUUUAUUUUUGCGUGUUGUUCGUCUGUACCGGACUUCAAUAUCCACUACAACCGUAUGGACUUACUGGACAUUGGUUUCCAGCAGAAAAUGACGGUUUGUAGCGAUUUCCAUCGCAUGCACAACAUUCUGGACGAGAAAAAAAAAAAACAUUCCGGAUGAGACAGCGAGACCAGCGGGGUCUCCGUGGAUUGUUAUUGGAAGCAAAGCGAAGGAGGCAGCGCCGGGAGCAGAAGCAAAAGCGAGGCUACAGGCAGAGCCGGCCUGUUGACUAAGCUCAGAAAACAGCCACUCAAACCUCCACUGCUAAGCCUCUACCUCUCCAACGCCAGAUCCAUGUAAACAAGACGGACAAUUUGGAAUUACCUUAUUCUAUUCUAUAAUCGGCUGGUCAGUGCUAUACUCAAUACUUAAGUGACUUACCCAUCCAAUGAGGAUUGUUAUUUUCUUGUUUACAAGAUGCCACAUCUGAGUC